rnacentral:rRNA from 1 species
UGGUGCCAGCAGCCGCGGUAAUUCCAGCUCCAAUAGCGUAUAUUAAAGUUGUUGCAGUUAAAAAGCUCGUAGUCGAAUUUCGGGGUUAGUAGGUUGGUCAUGCCUCUGGUAUGUACUGAUCUCACUGAUUCCUCCCUCUUGACGAACUGUAAUGUCAUUAAUUUGGUGUUGCAGGAAAUCAGGACUGUUACUUUGAAAAAAUUAGAGUGUUUAAAGCAGGCUAAGGCUUGAAUACAUUAGCAUGGAAUAAUGAAAUAGGACGUUUGAUCCUAUUUUGUUGGCUUCUAGGAUUGACGUAAUGAUUAAUAGGGAUAGUUGGGGGCAUUAGUAUUCAAUUGUCAGAGGUGAAAUUCUUGGAUUUAUUGAAGACUAACUACUGCGAAAGCAUUUGCCAAGGAUGUUUUCAUUAAUCAAGAACGAAAGUUAGGGGAUCGAAGACGAUCAGAUACCGUCGUAGUCUUAACCAUAAACUAUGCCGACUAGGGAUCGGAUGAUGUUAAUUUUUUAAUGACUCAUUCGGCGCCUUA